AAAGUUUUAAAUAGUCUUAUUUAUAAUUAUAAACCUAAAAUUAUAAAGAGAUUAUAAUUCCAUUGGGCUAAAUAUAUUUGAGUGCACUCUAGUUUUAGAAAUUGUCUUAUAUCUUUGUUUUUGUCCAAUCAUACAGCUGUUUUGUUUAUAGAUAAAGGUUAUUAAGUUCAAGGCAUGCUCCCCUUGGUGAACAAAGGAGUGGCCGCAUGGAAAUAUUUUCCAGUCUUUGUUCACUAGGGGGACCUCAACAGUUUUCAUCUUACAACAGACUGACCUGAUGGUUUUCAUAGCCUUAUAAAAGACUUACAGGAAUAAAUAUUAUUUAAAUAUAUUAUUAUACUGUUUAUAUCAAUUGUCAUCAAAGGGAUAAAUUCUAAAUAUGUUAUUAUGGUGUGCUUACAUUGGUCAUUUUCAAAGGACUAAAUAUCCUGUAAAAAACAACAAUAACAAGGUUUUAUUUUUUCUAGUGUACUAAAUGUAUUUAUACUUUCUGACUGUACAGGUUUUCUAAUAUUUGUUUAUGAUAAUAACCUCUUUUUGAUUCAGGUAUUUGCCUUUUCAUACACUCUAGCUAUUUAUGAUAACAGAUACAUAUAUGGGGUAUUUUCUUUAGAUGGUAUCCUAUCAAAAGAUUAUUUAUUUAUUUUUUAAAAGAUAAUUUAGGUAAAAACUUUUGGUGUUUUAAAAAAAAUGAGUACAUUUAAUGAUGGCUAUUUUAUAUCAAGGUGGACAUUUAAAUGUGUUACAAAGGUAAAGUCAUCAUAAUUGUCAUGUUAAAAUAUUAUUUGUGGCUCUUUUUCUGUUAAUAUUCUACAGAAAUUCAACUACUAAAAAACAACCAUGACUGAUGACAGUAACAGUUCUCUAUAUUUUAAAUUCCAAAAUGUUUGUUAUUCAGGUAAAACUAUAAUAGUUAAGUUCAUUAUUCUUGUUACAAUGCUAAUGCUAUUGACCUUCUCUUCUGGGUGUUCAACAACUAAAGUUUGGAGACCAAAACUAAAAGGUAACUGGGCUAUGAGGACAGCCAAUAUUUUGGCCCUGGCCCCUCAAGGUCAACAAAGUUCCAGGACAUGAGGGAACCUUCUCUACAGGGUCCUACAUCUUUGAAACGAUUGAGGACAUUCACCAGCCAGACAGUCACAGAGUUCAUCAUGGCAGGGAACCAGCCAGUACGGCAAAAGGAAGAGGUCCCCACUUGCCACUGACCUCAUCAGAUCCAGGUCUAGCCCCGAUCUUCGCCCCUUGUCAGCAGAAAGCAGCUCCAAAAAAAGAGACCUUCGCCCAACUAUCAUAAAACAAAAGCCUGGAAUGAUAGGUCUCCCACCACCUCAGCAGCUAUUAAAUAUAGUAGCUGCCCUCUUCCUAUGGUGCCUUGCCCCCUCCCCUGUGUGACAUCAUGCCAAGAUGGUUGCUCCCACCAAAGAACAAACCCUUCUUCCCAGCAUGCCCCUGUUCCCACCUAGACAGUAACCUAAUACUCGCUCACCUCCUACCACCUAGUGACAUCACCGGCUCCUCCAUUCCCUAGUCACUACCUCAUUCAACCCUGCCUCAGCCCCUACAAGCCCCACCCCAGUCUCUAUAAAAGACUCUCCCUGCCCCAGCCAUAUUGCUUUUGUCUCUCCUUUGUUCAGAGACAGCCCGGCAGAUCUAUUCCCCUAAUAAAGGCUUGUUGUGGCCUGGUCUGGUCUUGGUCUUCGGCCCUUUUACCUGACAGUGAGUAUGGGGUAUCCUUUUAGGUUUUAGGUACAAAAUGAGACCCUAUCUCAAAAAAACAAAAAAGAGAAACAUAUGUACCACUCCCAUUUAUGGGUUGGGACCCUGGUAUCUAGUAGUUCUUUGUUUUUUUACCUGUAAUGCUGCUACUAAAUGGACUUUCCCCCUAGAGUCCUUAGUACUCUUCUGCUUUUGCUCUGUCACUGCUGCACACAUUAAUGUAUUUUGUAAUCCAUAAUUUUUAUUGUCAAUGAUGUUGUCUGUAUUGUUGACUACCUUGUAUAGAGUUUUCUCUUUACUAACAGAAGACCUAGAGGAAAGAACAAACCCAUUUGUGUAUUUUUCUUGGUUCUUCCCUUCUCUUCCUCCAUGACUAGCCCUGUACCAAAUCCUUGCCAUAUCUGACUAGAAGGCUGUCCUCAACUUGAGGCAACUUAGUGGGCCACCACUAUUUCCCUAGCCUGUCAUACCUCCAGAAGUGCUGACUCUUUUAAUAGGCCUCAGAUGGGACCACAGUGGUAGGUUUUCUCCUAAGACACCAGGGAGCUCUUCCUUUGAUUCAGAUAGCAACUAUGGAUAUCUCAGACCCUGGAUUGCUUUUUAUUUUAUUGUACUGGGAACUGAACUCAGGACCUUGCACUUGCCAGGCAAGCGUGGCACCACUGAGCUACAUCCUUAGUCCUGGAUUGCUUUUAAUCACAGCUAAAAAUCUAUCUAAUUUAGGUCCUUUUGUACAGAUGACGAUUUUCAGGCAGUUUAUUCUCUUAAGCACAGAGACUUUGCAAGUGCUAGAAAGAGAGUUUGUCUUCCCUGUUUCAAACCAUAAAGACUUCAAUACUCUGAUUUCCUAUGAGGGAGAAGCUGAGCUGGACCUAGAUGUAACAUGGUCCCAAAGACUUGACUCAGAAACAGUUUCAAUUAAGUGUUCUUAAGUCACCUUCUGUUUAUGUCUCAAGUCUACAAAAAAAAUGUGUGGGUUUCAUGCCCUUUAAUUAUUUGGGGAAAAAAACUUCCAUAGAAAUAUAAGAUACAUAUUUUAUGAGCAACUUGGGGUUUUUUAAUAUGUAAAUCCUACUAAAGACUAUGGUUUAUUUUUUGUGUACUGCUGGAUUGCAUAACAUACAGAAAACUCUCUGGCGUUUUACUUCACAAGAAAACAAGAGACAAUGUGAUUCUAGAAGUAGCAGAGGAAGUAGGGAUACAUUAAAUCAGUCGAGCUAAGGCCACGUAACUUCAGAGGUGAACAGCAAAAGAUCUGAGGGCUGCACCUCCAAGGGAUGAAACGACUCAGCCUCCUGCCUACUACUCUCCCACCACAAGAUGGCAGGAUUCCCCUUGCCCGAAAUCUUCCAUAAAAGGAUAAGUGAUUUCCAGAGUGUGUAUCUUCUUUUGUGCUUAAUAAUGGUGUCAGACUGUCUUGUGUAUGACAUCAUCUAUGUUUCUAGGAAC
ensembl:lncRNA